ACUGUGAAGUCACAAGAGGCCCUGAGCUCUGUGGGCCCCAGGUGCCCCGGGAAAACUUGGGGGAGAAUGGGCAUCCCACCCCAGCACUUUCUAGGAAGAAGGGCAGCAUUUUGAAGGGCUGGAAGUAGAGGAAGGAGGUUGCGGGUAGAAGACUCCAUACUUUCUGUGACGCCUAUUCCUUAGCAGGAGGAAAAACAUCUGAAGAAUAUAUUUGUAGACUUCCUGGAAAUUGAUAAGUUGUCUCCAUAACUAAAGCAAGCAGAUUUUACUAAUUAGAAUUAUCUACAUAAUUUUACUUCAUUCACUUCUUUCUGUCAUACUAGGAGAGCCUUUAUAUAACCAAAGAUAUUUUUGGACCAUGAAUUCAGAAAUUCUCGGAGCCACCCAUCAGUGCCUGAGCUUCAGUGAGUCCAUAUCCCAUGUCACCCACGGCAAAGGAGACUCUAAGACUUCUGAAGAGUUUCUUGCUUCUUUCCUGUGGGGCAGUGACUCCACUUCCCAGCAGUAAUGGAAUAUCCUGAAUUAGCUACAUUAAUGUUAGAACCAUUUGGACCUCACCCAGGACUUCAACUACAUUAUGAGUAACUCCUGGACGAUUGGCACAGAAGAAGGCACAAGGCAAAUACCCAUCUCUGUACACCCUGUGCUACUGUGUCAUGUGCUGCUCCAGGCAACUCCAAUGGAUUGGCCACCCUGGCCAAUGUGCCCUCCAAACACCAGCACUGAGUAGAAAGAGGCUCUGAUUCAUGAAAUGUGAAUUUAUGACAGUUGCCACUCUUAAAAAAAAAAACAAACAGACAGAACUUGAGCAAUACAUGACUGAUGCAUUCUCAGCCUGCUUCCUGUGUUCCAUCUGUCUUUCUGCCAGUGCAUUCACCCUCCAGGUUCUAGUAUGUUACGUUUAUGUUCCCCUGCUUUCUACAAUCCUGUUCAAAGAGUUGCUGACUUAACCACAGAGAGGAUUCCAGAACCUGAGACACAGAAUAAACUUGAGCAAUCAUAGUCCAUCCACUUCAUUGUCUCAUCAAAAACCAAAGGUCCAGUGAAGCUCUGGAACUCAACGCUGUAAAGGAGCGAAGGAGCUUCUAUACAGAGCCUGGAUGCCUGUCUCCUUAUCCUACUUCAGUGGACUUGACUGCAAUCCGGAUUAUGCUGUUUUCUAAGCAUUUAAAAUAAAAUAAAAAGUAUAAUAGUGUGAUAAGUUCUUUCACAAAGCAAGCAAUCACAUUUAUGUUUCUACUUACAUUUGGGUUUUCCAAAUAUGUGUGUGUGUGUGUGUGUGUGUGUGUGUGUGUGUAUGUAGACUUUAAACAUGGUGCAUCCAUCAUGUUGCACUAAAUCAAAACCACCAAAUAAUGAUGUAGAACUAAUAAAUCAAAACCAUCAAAUAAUGACAUAGAAAUCCAAUUCUCCCACCUUACACCCAUUAAGAUGGCUACU
rnacentral:lncRNA from 1 species